rnacentral:misc_RNA from 1 species
CCAAACUUGGUCAUUUAGAGGAAGUAAAAGUCGUAACAAGGUUUCCGUAGGUGAACCUGCGGAAGGAUCAUUAACAGAGAGACGGGGUGCCCUCGUGGCCCCCAAACUCCACACCCUGUGAAGAUGUUACCUUUGUUGCUUUGGCGGGGCGAGGCCGCAAGGCCCCGUUGGCCCUUCCGGGCUGGCGAGCCCCCGCCAGAGGACCAUAAACUAUUGCUUUAAACAACCUUGCCGUCUGAAGAAUUUUUAAAAUAGCGAUAAAACUUUCAACAACGGAUCUCUUGGUUCUGGCAUCGAUGAAGAACGCAGC